CCUGAAAUAGCUCAGUUGGGAAAACGUUAGACUGAAGAUCUAAAGGUCCCUGUCCAAUCCUGGGUUUUGGCA
rnacentral:tRNA from 1 species